CACGAUGAGAUGUUCUCCAACAUUUACAAGAACCGAAAGGUGGAGGGGAAGAUGGUCGGUAGGACAGAGGGUAAUAUUGAUGCCUCAGCUGAAGGCCCUGAGGGCAAAGGUACAAAAAGCACAGUAAUUACUGGUAUUGAUAUUGUCAUGAACCAUCACCUGCAGGAAACCAGCUUUGCAAAAGUAGCCUAUAAGAAGUACAUCAAAGACUACAUGAAAUCAGUCAAAGGCAAACUUGAAGAACAGAAACCAGAACGAGUAAAACCUUUUAUGACAGGGGCUGCAGAACAAAUCAAGCAUGUCACUUGCUAAUUUUAAAAACUACCAGUUAUUUAUUGGUGAAAGCAUGAAUCCAGAUGGCAUGGUUGCUCUACUGGACUACCAUGAGGAUGGUGUGACCCCAUAUAUAAUUUUAAGGAUGGUUAGAGAUGGAAACUUAUUAACAAAUUUGGCAAUUACUUUGGAUCUAUCACCUGUCAUCAUAACUGGCUGCUGCUUGUCAUCCACACAACACCAGGAUGUAAGACAAAUGGGACUGAUGUCAUCUUGAACUUCAUUUAUUUUGACUGUGAUUUAUUUGGAGUGGAGGCAUUGCUUUUCAAGAAAAAUUUGUCAUGGAGGUUGUCUAAAAA